UACGUAGGGGGCAAGCGUUGUCCGGAUUUAUUGGGCGUAAAGCGCGCGUAGGCGGCCAGGUAGGUCCGUUGUGAAAACUGGAGGCUUAACCUCCAGCUGUCGAUGGAAACCAUCUGGCUAGAGUCCGGAAGAGGAGAGUGGAAUUCCUGGUGUAGCGGUGAAAUGCGCAGAUAUCAGGAGGAACACCGGUGGCGAAGGCAGUUCUCUGGGCAUUUCCUGACGCUGAGGAGCGAAAGUGUGGGGAGCGAACAGG
rnacentral:rRNA from 1 species